CAAAUGCCGGUACGUUAGCUGCGGCAAUUUUGAUUUCUUUACCGGUCUGCGGGUUGCGGCCAGUACGCUCAGCGCGGUGGUUCACUUUGAAGGUACCGAAACCAACCAGUUGUACAGCAUCGCCUUCUUUCAGAGACUCAGUAAUUGCAGCC
rnacentral:sRNA from 1 species